AACACCAGCAGAUCCACACCAGACAGAAAGCAUUCAUCAGUGUCACAGUGAGAACGGAACAGAUGGACAAAACUCUCAGACUUGUCAGCACUCUGCCAAUGGUGAACAGUGCUGCUUUGACCAGUCUGGACCGACGUCCAAUCAACAAGGAACCCUACAACGACACCAGCGUAUGCACACUGGACACAGACUGAACCCCUGCCAAGAAGAUUUCUCCAUGCAGGAUUCAGUAAAAGUUCAUGAAGUCCUCCACAAACUUAAAGUCCUUGAGAUCCGGCUUCACAGAAUUCAGGAGAACAAUGUGAUGAGUGCACCGAGAGAUCCAAUACAGGGAGCUUUCCUUUUUCAAAGAUCAUUAGAAGGACAGAAGACAAAGUAAGUUUCAGCAAACAGCUUUUUAUUUUCUAAUGAGCCAAUCUAUAGUAUUUAAAGUGCAGAGUUAUUUGUGUUAGAUUUGAACAAAAUUCUUCCAACAGUGUAAGGACUUAGUCUUUCUACUUUCAUUUGCAAUUGUUCUAGAAACCUAUCAUCUGGGUCAGGUGGUCACUCUGCAGCACAAGGAGUACUAUCCCACAUUGGAUCUGAUGUUAAUAUUUCCCUUAGACAUGGUAAAUUGACUGACUGGCUGAUAUUGUAGAGUUAGUAAAUAUAGGCAGUUAACAAAAGGAAAUGAAUGCUGCUUUGUGGAGGUACCAGAAUUUGGCCAUUUAACAAAAAAAUCUAAUGCUAAUAUUCUUUUAUUUCACCAGACUGUUAUUGUUUACACUUCAAUGAAUGAUGCUGUUGUACAUGUAUAGUAAUUUUAUUCAUCUUCAUGCAUACAGUGUUUGUGUACAGUAUGCGUGAUCAUAUUUUAAAAUAUAUAUAUUAACAAGGCCAACAACAAGUAAAAUGUGGUAACUGCAAGCUGUUUCUUCUGAGAUCCGUUUAUGAUGUGCUGUAUUGUUUUAUGAUGACCAAUUUUAAGAACUUAUUUAUUGUGGCAGGGCACUAUAUAAUUACACAAUUACAUCUAAGUAUGAAUAGUAU